UGACCUGCACAGAUCCUGUUGCUUAUCUCCUGUGGGAGGAAGAAAACAUCUUCACCCAGCAGUGAGGCUGGAGUGACCACCUGUGUGUGGACAUGGACUUUUCAGAGCAGGACAGGGCUUUGCUGCUGCUGUUUGUCAUGAUGUGCAAAGCUGUCCCACCAGAGAUGGGAUCUUCUUGUGUGAGGCAUGCACAGAGGAGAGCUGGAUGGAGAGGAUCAGUCAGGAGGCUAAGGAGAGGCAUGAAAGAAAGCCUCUGCAGCAGGAUGGAGUGGCAGAAAGGCUGCUUUUCCUCAAGGGAUCUGUGAAAUGAGAUGAUCCUGCUGUCAUUUCUGCAGCAGACCCUGGUCUCCUCCAUGCUACCUCUUGUCUGAGCUGAGGGCUUCUCCCACAUGGAGAAAGAAGCUGCAAAAUCACUGGUAAAUCCAUUCUUCUUCAUGCCUUGUCUAUCCUUGCUAAGAGACAGCGUGAGACAUUCCCAUGACCCCACGACUUGGGUGAACCACAGGAUCAUUUUCUCAUGGUGGCUUUAAAAAUGGAAGGCUUUACCUUCCUUUGCUUCAGCCUUUCAGUGAUCCUUUGAGAUCCUAUAUGUGCUUGUGAUCAUUCCUGAGCCCUAAGCUGCAACUUCUAAAGCACUACCAGCAGCAACCCCAACAAAAUAAUGGAUGACCGAGAGCAGAAGGAAGCACUGUGGGCUCACAAAGUGAAGAACUGAAUGUGUAGCUGGCUUCUAAGGAAGGAGGUGCACAGGAGGGGCCUGGAGUAUUCGGACACUGAGCUGCAUUCAAUGGUAUCUCCCUAGAACUUUCUGGAGAAGUCAAAUGAAAAGCCAGGCCCAGUGUAGUGUUUUCUACAGAAGGAUCAUGAUGUUCAACAUUUGCCAUCGUAUUUCCCUUCUUAUGGGUAGAACAAGAAGGAAAAUUAGAAAGAAAACGCUGAAAAUGUAAAGUCUCUUAAUGACUUGCUUCUCCUUGGAGUCCACACACAAUCUUCAGGGCAUCACCUCCACCUGUGGGCCUCUCCUUCCUCUGCUUACCACCACAGCUGCCUGGUGGACUGUUGAGCUGUUAACUCAGGGCAUUGUCCCCACCUGGAGAUGACAUUUGUUGACAUCUUGUUGGAACAAGCUGAGGAUAUCCUUGGGAGGAGAUGUUGAAGCAUGAGGGGACAGCCAAGCUAGGACUUCAAUGG